rnacentral:misc_RNA from 1 species
GUGGGAGCCGGGCUUGCCCGCGAUGCAGGCACUGCGGUUUUCAGCCGGACCGCGUUGAUGCCAUCGCGGGCAAGCCCGGCUCCCAC